rnacentral:rRNA from 1 species
AGAGCGAACGCUGGCGGCAGGCCUAACACAUGCAAGUCGAGCGCCCGUAGCAAUACGGGAGCGGCAGACGGGAUAGUAACACGUGGGAACGCGCCCUUCGGUUCGGAAUAACUCAGGGAAACUUGAGCUAAUACCGGAUACGCCCUUACGGGGAAAGAUUUAUUGCCGAAGGAACGGCCCGCGUCCGAUUAGCUAGUUGGUGAGGUAAUGGCUCACCAAGGCGACGAUCGGUAGCUGGUCUGAGAGGAUGACCAGCAUCACUGGGACUGAGACACGGCCCAGACUCCUACGGGAGGCAGCAGUGGGGAAUAUUGGACAAUGGGCGCAAGCCUGAUCCAGCCAUGCCGCGUGGAUGAUGAAGGCCUUAGGGUUGUAAAGUCCUUUUAACGGGGAAGAUAAGUGACGGUACCGUAGAAUAAGCCCGGCUAACUCGUGCCAGCAGCCGC